rnacentral:rRNA from 1 species
UAGGGAAUCUUCGGCAAUGGGGGGAACCCUGACUGAGCAACGCCGCGUGUGUGAAGAAGGUUUUCGGAUCGUAUAGCUCUGUUGUUAAGGAAGAACGAGUGUGAGAAUGGAAAGUUCAUGCUGUGACGGUACUUAACCAGAAAGGGACGGCUAACUACGUGCCAGCAGCCGCGGUAAUACGUAGGUCCCGAGCGUUGUCCGGAUUUAUUGGGCGUAAAGCGAGCGCAGGCGGUUAGAAAAGUCUGAAGUGAAAGGCAGUGGCUCAACCAUUGUAGGCUUUGGAAACUGUUUAACUUGAGUGCAGAAGGGGAGAGUGGAAUUCCAUAUGUAGCGGUGAAAUGCGUAGAUAUAUGGAGGAACACCGGUGGCGAAAGCGGCUCUCUGGUCUGUAACUGACGCUGAGGCUCGAAAGCGUGGGGAGCGAACAGG